AUCCUGCUGACGAGUCCCAAAUAAGACGAGACGCGCGUCCCAGAU
rfam:Schistosoma mattheei strain Denwood, Zambia genome assembly, scaffold: SMTD_contig0003781